GGAGCUUGCUCCCGGAUGUUAGCGGCGGACGGGUGAGUAACACGUGGGUAACCUGCCUGUAAGACUGCUAUAACUCCGGGAAACCGGAGCUAAUACCGGAUAGUUCCUUGAACCGCAUGGUUCAAGGAUGAAACCCGUUUCGGCUGUCACUUACAGAUGGACCCGCGGCGCAUUAGCUAGUUGGUGGGGUAAUGGCUCACCAAGGCGACGAUGCGUAGCCGACCUGAGAGGGUGAUCGGCCACACUGGGACUGAGACACGGCCCAGACUCCUACGGGAGGCAGCAGUAGGGAAUCUUCCGCAAUGGACGAAAGUCUGACGGAGCAACGCCGCGUGAGUGAUGAAGGUUUUCGGAUCGUAAAGCUCUGUUGUUAGGGAAGAACAAGUGCGAGAGUAACUGCUCGCACCUUGACGGUACCUAACNCAGAAAGCCACGGCUAACUACGUGCCAGCAGCCGCGGUAAUACGUAGGUGGCAAGCGUUGUCCGGAAUUAUUGGGCGUAAAGGGCUCGCAGGCGGUUUCUUAAGUCUGAUGUGAAAGCCCCCGGCUCAACCGGGGAGGGUCAUUGGAAACUGGGAAACUUGAGUGCAGAAGAGGAGAGUGGAAUUCCACGUGUAGCGGUGAAAUGCGUAGAGAUGUGGAGGAACACCAGUGGCGAAGGCGACUCUCUGGUCUGUAACUGACGCUGAGGAGCGAAAGCGUGGGGAGCGAACAGGAUUAGAUACCCUGGUAGUCCACGCCGUAAACGAUGAGUGCUAAGUGUUAGGGGGUUUCCGCCCCUUAGUGCUGCAGCUAACGCAUUAAGCACUCCGCCUNGGGGAGUACGGUCGCAAGACUGAAACUCAAAGGAAUUGACGGGGGCCCGCACAAGCGGGUGGAGCAUGUGGUUUAAUUCGAAGCAACGCGAAGAACCUUACCANGGUCUUGACAUCCUCUGACAACCCUAGAGAUAGGGCUUUCCCUUCGGGGACAGAGUGACAGGUGGUGCAUGGUUGUCGUCAGCUCGUGUCGUGAGAUGUUGGGUUAAGUCCCGCAACGAGCGCAACCCUUGAUCUUAGUUGCCAGCNAUUUAGUUGGGCACUCUAAGGUGACUGCCGGUGACAAACCGGAGGAAGGUGGGGAUGACGUCAAAUCAUCAUGCCCCUUAUGACCUGGGCUACACACGUGCUACAAUGGACAGAACAAAGGGCUGCGAGACCGCAAGGUUUAGCCAAUCCCAUAAAUCUGUUCUCAGUUCGGAUCGCAGUCUGCAACUCGACUGCGUGAAGCUGGAAUCGCUAGUAAUCGCGGAUCAGCAUGCCGCGGUGAAUACGUUCCCGGGCCUUGUACACACCGCCCGUCACACCACGAGAGUUUGCAACACCCGAAGUCGGUG
rnacentral:rRNA from 1 species